rnacentral:rRNA from 1 species
AUUGAACGCUGGCGGCAUGCCUUACACAUGCAAGUCGAACGGCAGCACGGGAGCAAUCCUGGUGGCGAGUGGCGAACGGGUGAGUAAAGUAUCGGAACGUGCCCAGUCGUGGGGGAUAACGUAGCGAAAGUUACGCUAAUACCGCAUACGAUCUAUGGAUGAAAGCGGGGGAUCGCAAGACCUCGCGCGAUUGGAGCGGCCGAUAGCAGAUUAGGUAGUUGGUGGGGUAAAGGCGCACGAAGCCGACGAUCUGUAGCUGGUCUGAGAGGACGACCAGCCACACUGAGACUGAGACACGGCCCAGGAUCCUACGGGAGGCAGCAGUGGGGAAUUUUGGACAAUGGGCGAAAGCCUGAUCCAGCCAUGCCGCGUGCAGGAUGAAGGCCUUCGGGUUGUAAACUGCUUUUGUACGGAACGAAAAGGUUUGGCCUAAUAAGCUGAACUCAUGACGGUACCGUAAGAAUAAGCACCGGCUAACUACGUGCCAGCAGCCGCGGUAA